rnacentral:sRNA from 1 species
CCUGUUGCGGGCAAAUCCAGUGAAUAUGGGCAUCAAUCCCGCCCGCGGUGAUAAUAUUGCCUUCACCGGCAAUAACCUCGGUCCCCGGGCCGAUGAUGAUAUCAACACCGGGCUGAACAUCCGGGUUUCCGGCCUUGCCGAUCCCGGCAAUGCGCCCCCCGGUGAUGCCGAUAUCGGCUUUGACAAUCCCGGUAUAAUCAAGGAUCAGCGCGUUGGUGAUCACAGUAUCAACCGCCCCUUCGGCGCGGGUUGCCUGUGACUGGCCCAUGCCGUCAC